AUUGAACGCUGGCGGCGUGCUUUACACAUGCAAGUCGAACGGUAACAGGUUAAGCUGACGAGUGGCGAACGGGUGAGUAAUGCAUCGGAACGUGCCCGAUCGUGGGGGAUAACGCAGCGAAAGCUGCGCUAAUACCGCAUACGAUCAGAGGAUGAAAGCGGGGGACCGUAAGGCCUCGCGCGCUCGGAGCGGCCGAUGUCAGAUUAGGUAGUUGGGGGGGUAAAGGCCCACCAAGCCGACGAUCUGUAGCUGGUCUGAGAGGACGACCAGCCACACUGGGACUGAGACACGGCCCAGACUCCUACGGGAGGCAGCAGUGGGGAAUUUUGGACAAUGGGCGAAAGCCUGAUCCAGCAAUGCCGCGUGCAGGAAGAAGGCCUUCGGGUUGUAAACUGCUUUUGUACGGAGCGAAAAGGUCCUUUCUAAUACAAGGGGCUCAUGACGGUACCGUAAGAAUAAGCACCGGCUAACUACGUGCCAGCCGCCGCCGUAA
rnacentral:rRNA from 1 species